GGGAUGAUAGUAUAGUGGUCAGUAUCUCUCGUUGUGGCUUCGUGGCUCUUGCAAGAGAUGCCAACAAUACCCGAGAAGACCCAGGUUCGAUUCCUGGUUAUCCCA